UUUAAAUUCUUAUCGUUUCAGAAAUUAUUAUGACUCAACUAUAUACCAGAUACUAUGAGUGGUACUUAUACCAUAUUUAUCUGGUUUUGAACUAUUAGAGAGUGUAUUUCUAGAUCAAUCAUCUACCGUGCAAGGUACUCCCUCCAUUUCUUUUUAAGUGUCAUUUUCUAACUUUUUACACAUAUCAAGACAUCUAAUCAUUAUUGUUACUUUUC
rnacentral:lncRNA from 1 species